rnacentral:rRNA from 1 species
AAUAUUGGACAAUGGGCGAAAGCCUGAUCCAGCCAUGCCGCGUGUGUGAAGAAGGUCUUCGGAUUGUAAAGCACUUUAAGUUGGUAGGAAGGGGUUGAAGCUAAUACCUUCAAUCUUUGACGUUACCAACAGAAACAGACCCGGCUAUCUCUGUGCCAGCAGCCGCGGUAAUACAGGGGGUGCAAGCGUUAAUCGGAAUUACUGGGCGUAAAGCGCGCGUAGGUGGUUCAGUAAGAUGGAAGUGAAAUCCCCGGGCUUAACCUGGGAACUGCUUUCAUAACUGCUGAGCUAGAGUACGGUAGAGGGUAGUGGAAUUUCCUGUGUAGCGGUGAAAUGCGUGGAUAUAGGAAGGAACACAAGUGGCGAAGGCGACUACCUGGACUGAUACUGACACUGAGGUGCGAAAGCGUGGGGAGCAAACAGG